rnacentral:rRNA from 1 species
CGCGUAGGUGGUUCGUUAAGUUGGAUGUGAAAUCCCCGGGCUCAACCUGGGAACUGCAUUCAAAACUGUCGAGCUAGAGUAUGGUAGAGGGUAGUGGAAUUUCCUGUGUAGCGGUGAAAUGCGUAGAUAUAGGAAGGAACACCAGUGGCGAAGGCGACCACCUGGACUGAUACUGACACUGAGGUGCGAAAGCGUGGGGAGCAAACA